rnacentral:ncRNA from 1 species
GGCACGUUGAUUGCGUAGCACCACGUGUGGGUGCAACGGCGCACUCGCCACAACACGAACACGAUGC